CCUACGGGUGGCAGCAGUGAGGAAUAUUGGUCAAUGGACGAGAGUCUGAACCAGCCAAGUAGCGUGAAGGAUGACUGCCCUAUGGGUUGUAAACUUCUUUUAUAAAGGAAUAAAACGAGGCACGCGUGCCUUUUUGUAUGUACUUUAUGAAUAAGGAUCGGCUAACUCCGUGCCAGCAGCCGCGGUAAUACGGAGGAUCCGAGCGUUAUCCGGAUUUAUUGGGUUUAAAGGGAGCGUAGAUGGGUUGUUAAGUCAGUUGUGAAAGUUUGCGGCUCAACCGUAAAAUUGCAAUUGAUACUGGCAGUCUUGAGUACAGUUGAGGUAGGCGGAGUUCGUGGUGUAGCGGUGAAAUGCUUAGAUAUCACGAAGAACCCCGAUUGCGAAGGCAGCUUACUAAACUGUGACUGACAUUGAUGCUCGAAAGUGUGGGUAUCAAACAGGAUUAGAUACCCUUGUAGUC
rnacentral:rRNA from 1 species